AUUGAACGCUGGCGGCAGGCUUAACACAUGCAAGUCGAGCGGGGUGAUGGUGCUUGCACUAUCACUUAGCGGCGGACGGGUGAGUAAUGCUUAGGAAUCUGCCUAUUAGUGGGGGACAACAUCUCGAAAGGGAUGCUAAUACCGCAUACGUCCUACGGGAGAAAGCAGGGGAUCACUUGUGACCUUGCGCUAAUAGAUGAGCCUAAGUCGGAUUAGCUAGUUGGUGGGGUAAAGGCCUACCAAGGCGACGAUCUGUAGCGGGUCUGAGAGGAUGAUCCGACACACUAGGACUGAGACACGGCCCAGGCUCCUACGGGAGGCAGCAGUGGGGAAUAUUGGACAAUGGGGGGAACCCUGAUCCAGCCAUGACGCGUGUGUGAAGAAGGCCUUAUGGUUGUAAAGCACUUUAAGCGAGGAGGAGGCUCUUUUGGUUAAUACCCAAGAUGAGUGGACGUUACUCGCAGAAUAAGCACCGGCUAACUCUGUGCCAGCCGCCGCCGUAA
rnacentral:rRNA from 1 species